AAUCCAUGGUGAGGGAAUUAUCUGCGGUAGUCAUUGAAGCACUCCCAUGCUUCGUAAAAAGGCUCAUCUGUGAGCUGUAUGAAGAAGGUGAUCUUGUUCCUCAAUGC